AAUCAACGCUGGCGGCAUGCCUAACACAUGCAAGUCGAGCGAGAAAGUGUAGCAAUACAUGAGUACAGCGGCGCACGGGUGAGUAACACGUGGAUAACCUGCCUCAAAGUGGGGAAUAACACCGGGAAACCGGUGCUAAUACCGCAUACACCGAUGAGAUCUGUGGAUUUCGUCGGGAAAGGAGCAAUUCGCUAUGAGAGGGGUCCGG
rnacentral:rRNA from 1 species